CUGUUGAAAAUGCUUUGACAUCCAUGUGCACAACAGAACAUGUGCUCGAUGAACAAAUUGAGAUUUGAAAUUAUGAAAAGAAAUCCACGUACUCCGGUGAGACUCGAACUCACGACUCCCAAUUCGCUAGACGGGCGCUUCUAUUCCUUCAAGCUACGGAGUCACUCGACUAUCUCCGUCGCCAGCAGGCCUAGAACUGAACUCGAUUCCACAAUCGCACAUGGUUAUCUUCUUUUCACAAUCCAAACCCCCUUCGGAUGGGAUUAGAUGAACAUCUAACACAUUGUCUGUUGUGCACAUGUAUGUCAAAGCGGGAGAGGAAGUUAUUUUUAAUUGUCGAGAGCUUCGGGCACUGCCUUCCAAUCACUUAUUGGUAUGGCAAUUAGUGUGCAGUCGGACUCUCGACGGGUCGGUCCUCGGCCGACCGAAUACGGUAAGGGUGACCGUAGCACCUUACAAAUGUCAAUUUCUUGAUUUUGCUUUGGCUGACCAAGCCAUGUGGGAAAUUACACUGUUGAAAAUGCUUUGACAUCCAUGUGCACAACAGAACAUGUGCUCGAUGAACAAAUUGAGAUUUGAAAUUAUGAAAAGAAAUCCACGUACUCCGUGCCCGAAGCUCUCGACAAUUAAAAAUAACUUCCUCUCCCGCUUUGACAUACAUGUGCACAACAGACAAUGUGUUAGAUGUUCAUCUAAUCCCAUCCGAAGGGGGUUUGGAUUGUGAAAAGAAGAUAACCAUGUGCGAUUGUGGAAUCGAGUUCAGUUCUAGGCCUGCUGGCGACGGAGAUAGUCGAGUGACUCCGUAGCUUGAAGGAAUAGAAGCGCCCGUCUAGCGAAUUGGGAGUCGUGAGUUCGAGUCUCACCGGAGUACGUGGAUUUCUUUUCAUAAUUUCAAAUCUCAAUUUGUUCAUCGAGCACAUGUUCUGUUGUGCACAUGGAUGUCAAAGCAUUUUCAACAGUGUAAUUUCCCACAUGGCUUGGUCAGCCAAAGCAAAAUCAAGAAAUUGACA